UACAGAGGUCCCAAGCGUUGUUCGGAUUCACUGGGCGUAAAGGGUGCGUAGGUGGUUGUGCAAGUCUGAUGUGAAAUCUCCGGGCUUAACCCGGAAAUGGCAUUGGAAACUGCAUAGCUAGAGGUCUGGAGGGGGGACUGGAAUUCUCGGUGUAGCAGUGAAAUGCGUAGAUAUCGAGAGGAACACCAGUGGCGAAGGCGAGUCCCUGGACAACACCUGACACUGAGGCACGAAAGCUAGGGGAGCAAACAGG
rnacentral:rRNA from 1 species